UACGAUGGAGGGCAAGCGUUGUCCGGAUUAUUGGGCGUAAAGAGCUCGUAGGUGGUUCGGUAAGUCGGAUGUGAAAUCUCCAGGCUCAACCUGGAGGGGUCAUUCGAUACUGCCGUGACUAGAGUUCGGUAGGGGAGUGUGGAAUUCCUGGUGGAGCGGUGAAAUGCGCAGAUAUCAGGAGGAACACCGAUGGCGAAGGCAGCUCGCUGGGACGUUACUGACGCUGAGACGCGAAAGCGUGGGGAGCAAACAGG
rnacentral:rRNA from 1 species